CCUACGGGCGGCAGCAGUAAGGAAUAUUGGUCAAUGGAGGAAACUCUGAACCAGCCAUCCCGCGUGAAGGAUGAAGGGGCUCUGCCUUGUAAACUUCUUUUGUCUGGGGCGAAAAAGCUCGAUUUAUCGAGCACUGACGGUACCAGAAGAAUAAGCACCGGCUAACUCCGUGCCAGCAGCCGCGGUACUACGGAGGGUGCAGGCGUUACCCGGAUUCACUGGUGCUAAGGGGUGCUAAGAAGGCAGAGUUGAAAGGCUGUGGCUUAACCAUGGAAUUGCCAUUGAUACUGCAGAGCGUGAAUGAGGUUGAGGUUGGCGGAAUGUGACAUGGAGCGGUGAAAUGCUUAGAUAUGUCAUGGAACACCGAUGGCGAAGGCAGCUGACUGGACCUAUAUUGACGCUGAGGCACGAAAGCGUGGGGAGCGAACAGGAUUAGAUACCCGGGUAGUC
rnacentral:rRNA from 1 species